AAGCGCGCGUAGGUGGUUUGUUAAGUUGGAUGUGAAAUACCCCGGGCUCAACCUGGGAACUGCAUUCAAAACUGACUGACUAGAGUAUGGUAGAGGGUGGUGGAAUUUCCUGUGUAGCGGUGAAAUGCGUAGAUAUAGGAAGGAACACCAGUGGCGAAGGCGACCACCUGGACUGAUACUGACACUGAGGUGCGAAAGCGUGGGGAGCAAACAGGAUUAGAUACCCGAGU
rnacentral:rRNA from 1 species